rnacentral:Y_RNA from 1 species
GUCUGGUCUGAGUGCAGUGAUGUUUUACAACUAAUUGAUCACAACCAGUUACAAAUUUCUUUGUUCCUUCUCCACUCCUACUGCUUCACUUGACUAGCGAAA